GGAAUGGCUUUGUUGGACGGACAGCUAAACAUGCUUCUGUAGAUUGGGUUUUGAGGAUUUACUGUGAGUAUCAGAGGGCACAGGCGAAUGGGGAGAUGGGGUCAGAAAAGACGAUGCAGAGGCGAUCAUGUGACUCUUGAUCAUGUGGGGGUUGUAAGUUCGACCUCCACAUUGGGUGUAGGGAUUACUUUAAAAAAUAAUAAAAUCUUUUAAGAAAAAGAAAAGGUAAUGCAGAAAAUUGAGUGGGCAGAAGAGGGCAAGGGAUGACCAUCUGAGCCUGUGAUGUUGGCAGCAAACAAGAGGAACUAAAUAAAUUCUGUGAAUGAAACCAAUGAUUCUGGGCAUCUGGGAGGCUCAGUGGUUGAGCAUCUACCUUCAGCUCAGGUCGUGACCCCAGGGUCCUGGGAUCGAGUUCCGCAUCAGGCUCCCCACAGGGAACGUGCUUCUCCCUCUGCCUAUGUUUCUGUGUCUCUCAUGAGUAAAUAAAUAAAAUCUUUUAAAAAAAGAAACCAAUGAUUCAAAGGCAGAGUGUUGACCGGGGGUGUGUGUGUGUGUAGAAAUAAAUGCAUAGGGGGAUCAUGCAUAGGGUGGCUCAGCGGUUUGGCGCCUGCCUUUGGCCCAGGGCGCGAUCCUUGAGUCCCGGGAUCGAGUCCCGCAUCGGGCUCCCGGCAUGAAGCCUGCUUCUCCCUCUGCCCCACCCUGUCUAUCAUAAAUAAAUAAAUAAAUCUCAAAAAAAAAGAAAUAAAUGCAUAAUUAUUCAAAUAAAAAUGUUUAUUCAUAUGUCACAUGAAAUGAUCUACCUUUCUAUGCUUUUGGAAAUGCUGCCUGAAAUAGCAUCCUUUUUACUGCAUCAUGGCUCCUUCUUUUUUUUUUUUUAAUUUUUAUUUAUUUAUGAUAGUCACAGAGAGAGAGAGAGAGAGAGAGGCAGAGGCACAGGCAGUGGGAGAAGCAGGCUCCAUGCACCGGGAGCCCGACGUGGGAUUCGAUCCUGAAUCUUCAGGAUCACGCCCUGGGCCAAAGGCAGGCGCCAAACCGCUGCGCCACCCAGGGAUCCCCAUCAUGGCUCCUUCUGAAGAACUCCUUAGGAGAAAGUCAACGCUACAGUUGAUGUGGUCGAUGGAAAUUCUACAGGGUCAUGAGAAAAAGCAGCACCUUGUCCAUACAAGUCCAUGGAAGUUUGCUCCUUAACACGCUAUUAAAGCAAAACGCACGUCUUUAACAGCUUCCACCUAUGGAAUAUCUGCGUGCAGUCGUCCAACCGGGUGAUUAUAAAGAGGAACACCAAGGCUUCAUAUUCACAAUUACAUUCAGAAAAAGCCUUACACGAGUCUAUGAAUACCUGCCAGGGACUGUGCCUGUGGUUCAAGUGUCAGCCUCAGACUGCAGGUCAGCUAUGAAGAAACACCCCUUCUACACAGAACAUUCCUCCACAACUCCAAAAGUUGACACUGUCCGGUUCAUGUAAAUUUGUCUUGAAAUAAUGAUCAUGUUCAUUAGAAACAGAAACAGAAACAGAACAAACCCCACAAACACCAAGCUGUUCUGAUUUGAAGAGACACUAGAGAUAAUAAAAGUCUUUCUACUAGUAGGAUCUCCCA
rnacentral:lncRNA from 12 species